AACGAACGCUGGCGGCAGGCCUAACACAUGCAAGUCGAGCGCGCCUUCGGGUGAGCGGCGGACGGGUGAGUAACGCGUGGGAAUAUGCCCUUCUCUACGGAAUAGUCCUGGGAAACUGGGGGUAAUACCGUAUACGCCCUUUGGGGGAAAGAUUUAUCGGGGAAGGAUUAGCCCGCGUUGGAUUAGGUAGUUGGUGGGGUAAUGGCCUACCAAGCCGACGAUCCAUAGCUGGUUUGAGAGGAUGAUCAGCCACACUGGGACUGAGACACGGCCCAGACUCCUACGGGAGGCAGCAGUGGGGAAUCUUAGACAAUGGGGGCAACCCUGAGCUAGCCAUGCCGCGUGAGUGAUGAAGGCCUUAGGGUUGUAAAGCUCUUUCAGCUGGGAAGAUAAUGACGGUACCAGCAGAAGAAGCCCCGGCUAACUCCGUG
rnacentral:rRNA from 1 species